rnacentral:lncRNA from 1 species
UGAAAUCAGGACCUGGGGACAAUAAGGCCACCGGUAACAUUGUGACCCAGGAUGGCUAAAGCGCUGAUUCACAAUUAGCUGCUGCACUGUGGCUAAGGAUUAGGGAGAAUUAGGACUGUAUGUCAGAUCUCUGACACUCAAGUCUACACCCUGGACACAGUGGCACCAGAUGCGUGUCAGGCGGUGUGUGGGGACGUUCAACGACUUGAUUUAAAAGAAAAAUCAUCUGUAGAUAGGACGUUGUUUAUUUGCCCGGCUCAGAUUUGACUUUGUGCCAUUUUGGUGGAAAGAAAGAGAACCAGAUCUGCUAGUGUAUGUAAUAAAUCUCCCCCAAGAGGCAGGGAGUUUGGCCAACUGAAAAUGUGAAGCGAGUUAUUUGCAUACACUUUAAGAUUACUUUAGGAACAAGCAUUGGAAAACCUUGUGUCCAUCACAAAUUGAUGAUUUCUACCUUCAGGUACUACAUAAAACAAGUAUAAAAUUAAUAAAACCAGUCUGAGUGGAGUAGCACUGUGUAUAUUUCAAAGGUUUUCACAACAAAGGUUUUUCACUAAUUUUGACAAGAUUUCCACCACUCACCACAAAUAUGUAUGCCCCUUAUUAAAAUAAUAAGGUACUUAAGUAAUAAGACUUCUGCCUAUGUAUAUACAUAGAAAAUAAUUGGAUUCUCAUUCACACACUUUGUAACUGAGCAAAUUUGCUUCUUCACUCUAAUUGGGCCGUGAGUCGUCUUUUUAAGUCCAUACUUAAAUGCCACUUAAAGAAUUUUUUCCCGUAACCUCAUAACUGUAAUUAAGUCCCCAUGUUACACUGUCUCUUAAAAGCCACACAUUUUAUGCGGAGCAUUUAUAGUGAUUUACAAUUUUAUAUGCAUGUUUGUUUAAUAUCUCUCUUCCCUAUUAAUGUCUUAUCUACCCCUGUAUCUCAAGUCCCCAGCACCAUAGCAGAGACUUUGCAUAUUCAUGAAUGAAUAAUGAAUAAAUGAGAAACAGACAUAAGAGUGAGUAUGUGUUCCCUUAAGGAAGCAAAGAGCAGCCCCCGGUAAGCCUUUGCUGUAUUUUGUUUCUCUUCCAGAAAUGUCUGUGAUAUUUCUUCUUGUAUAUUUAUAAUAAAAUUCUCUUUUCUUGAGCCAGCUGGAAUGAGUCUCCAUUCCUUGGAACGGAAGAGUCCUAAGUCAUAGCUAGAGAAUGGGGCACAUUGACAGAAUUGUCAAAGUGAAUAUAAUAAUAACAAGGUAACGUUCUAGCAGGAAGCAUCGCAGGAAAGCAAGAGUCCCCUUGAUAUUGUUUAUCCUUGCUUGGUCCAAUCUGAAACUGAAACUCCCAACCAAUUUGCUUCUUAAAUUUGACCCUUUAAAACUGGCCUCUGACUCCACCUGGUGGAGAUUCAGAAACCUGUGGAAAUAAACCAAUCCAAAUGAGGAU